GUGAGGUUAGUGAAAUGGUGGCCCUAAUGACACAUGGGUGGUUGGGGUCACCCUUGAGUGCUUUUGGCAGCAGUGACAGUGAGGAUGUAGGAGAGCAACAGCUCCACCUACAGGACAGCCAUAGUGUGAAAGGCUACCAGGAAUAUGAGAACCAGGAAAGCACUGAUCUGGAGCAUCUAUUCAAGAGUUUUGCUGGUAAUGAAAUUACUGUUAAAGGGAUAGUUCACCUAAAAAUGACAAUUUUGUCAUCAUUUACUGACCCUCAUUCUGUUAACCCUCUGACAAUUUUCAUUUUUGGAUGAACUGUUCCUUUAAGAUAUUUCAUUUAGUGUUUUAUUUGGGCUCAAUUCUAUAUUACAUUCCUUUUUUUAAAUAAUUAAAUAUUAAAAAAUAUGUUUAAAUGCUAUUUAAUGCCAGGUAUUCAGAGUGAUAGUGAGGAGAGCACAAAUGACCGCACGAUCUAUCACACUUUUGAUGUGACCAACGGAGUGCUGGAGGUGACAAGCCAAACUGAGGAUGAGGGAAGUUCAGAUUGUUUGGACUGUACACAGACACAGCAGUCUAGCAUGUUCUACACACCCAAACAUCACCUGUCCAACCACACAUCAUCUGGUGAAGAGCGUUCUCAGUCACUGAGCUCAGAGGACGAGUUGGACGUCACAGUGGAGGUGUGUCGUCCCAGCACAUCUCCAGCAGAGGGAAAGCAGGCUGGUGAAAACAGUCUGAGUGAAUACCAGCUUGCUCAAGAGGACUCAACAGAAUCUGAAUCCAUUACUCCAGUGCACAGGUGUAUUCCUACCAUCAGUUGUUUGCCAGACCUGGCUGAGAUUGCAGACCUCUCCAGCAUAUCCUGUUCACCAGCCAGUCACCUAGAAUGGGUGGAGUCAGCCGAAGCCCCGCCCAUCCCUCUCAGCAGAGGACAUCCACCCUGUAACAGCACCCCACGCAGCCCAAAAGGCCAUAGGACACACCUUAGAGAUGUGCAGGGUAGCAAUGAGCCCCUCCCUCACCUCCAGAGCUUGUUGGACACGUCACCAUGGGGCAGUGCUCCAUCCAAUACUGUCUGCACAGAGAGUUUCGCCACAGUCAGCGCAGGAGACAGCAGCACUGUCCGUCAAUGA
rnacentral:lncRNA from 1 species